AGAGUUUGAUCAUGGCUCAGAUUGAACGCUGGCGGCAGGCCUAACACAUGCAAGUCGAGCGGUAGCACAGGAGAGCUUGCUCUCUGGGUGACGAGCGGCGGACGGGUGAGUAAUGUCUGGGAAACUGCCUGAUGGAGGGGGAUAACUACUGGAAACGGUAGCUAAUACCGCAUAAUGUCGCAAGACCAAAGAGGGGGACCUUCGGGCCUCUUGCCAUCAGAUGUGCCCAGAUGGGAUUAGCUAGUAGGUGGGGUAAUGGCUCACCUAGGCGACGAUCCCUAGCUGGUCUGAGAGGAUGACCAGCCACACUGGAACUGAGACACGGUCCAGACUCCUACGGGAGGCAGCAGUGGGGAAUAUUGCACAAUGGGCGCAAGCCUGAUGCAGCCAUGCCGCGUGUAUGAAGAAGGCCUUCGGGUUGUAAAGUACUUUCAGCGAGGAGGAAGGCAUUGUGGUUAAUAACCACAGUGAUUGACGUUACUCGCAGAAGAAGCACCGGCUAACUCCGUGCCAGCAGCUGCGGUAAUACGGAGGGUGCAAGCGUUAAUCGGAAUUACUGGGCGUAAAGCGCACGCAGGCGGUCUGUCAAGUCGGAUGUGAAAUCCCCGGGCUCAACCUGGGAACUGCAUUCGAAACUGGCAGGCUAGAGUCUUGUAGAGGGGGGGUAGAAUUCCAGGUGUAGCGGUGAAAUGCGUAGAGAUCUGGAGGAAUACCGGUGGCGAAGGCGGCCCCCUGGACAAAGACCGACGCUCAGGUGCGAAAGCGUGGGGAGCAMACAGGAUUAGAUACCCUGGUAGUCCACGCCGUAAACGAUGUCGACUUGGAGGUUGUUCCCUUGAGGAGUGGCUUCCGGAGCUAACGCGUUAAGUCGACCGCCUGGGGAGUACGGCCGCAAGGUUAAAACUCAAAUGAAUUGACGGGGGCCCGCACAAGCGGUGGAGCAUGUGGUUUAAUUCGAUGCAACGCGAAGAACCUGACCUACUCUUGACAUCCAGAGAACUUAGCAGAGAUGCUUUGGUGCCUUCGGGAACUCUGAGACAGGUGCUGCAUGGCUGUCGUCAGCUCGUGUUGUGAAAUGUUGGGUUAAGUCCCGCAACGAGCGCAACCCUUAUCCUUUGUUGCCGGCGGUUCGGCCGGGAACUCAAAGGAGACUGCCAGUGAUAAACUGGAGGAAGGUGGGGAUGACGUCAAGUCAUCAUGGCCCUUACGAGUAGGGCUACACACGUGCUACAAUGGCAUAUACAAAGAGAAGCGACCUCGCGAGAGCAAGCGGACCUCACAAAGUAUGUCGUAGUCCGGAUCGGAGUCUGCAACUCGACUCUGUGAAGUCGGAAUCGCUAGUAAUCGUAGAUCAGAAUGCUACGGUGAAUACGUUCCCGGGCCUUGUACACACCGCCCGUCACACCUUGGGAGUGGGUUGCAAAAGAAGUAGGCAGCUUAACCUUCGGGAGGGCGCUUACCACUUUGUGAUUCAUGACUGGGGUGAAGUCGUAACAAGGUAACCGUA
rnacentral:rRNA from 2 species